ensembl:lncRNA
GUUGGUCUUCUAGUCAAGUAUGUCACAGUGACUUAUUGGAUGCGUGUUACCAGCUAAUUUGUCUUAUGAUUUUCAUAUGAAAAUAAAGUCGAAGACUGACUGACUGACUGAAGGGUGGCCAAUUCAUCGUCUGCAUUCAUAUGUGGAGCAUUCAGAUCUCAACCUUAAAACAAGGUUGAGAUAAUCGAGUAGUUAUGACCCAUUCAUGACCCCAGCAACGAAGUAAAAUAUGCUGUUGGGAUAUGUUUAAAAAUAAAAAUGUUUUCUAUUACAAAAACUGUAUGCAGAUACUUAAAUCCCAAAUAUAAUGGCAAACACUGAAUUCAAUAUUGAUCAUAUAACAUUUGGUCAUUACUGCAACGUUACUGCCCUCCUUUAGCAGUUUUUAUAGUAGUAGACUGGUACCCUGUGUAGCCUGUCAAAAAAAAAAUUAAAAAAUUAUAAGGGCAAAAAUAAUCUUUAAUGUUUGUUUUACCCUUUUCUUGUGUGUACUGUGAGGAAUCUAAUACUACUUAUACUAUCUAUUAUCAUUGUUAAGGAUUUAGUCUCUGCUCCUGCUCAAAGUUCCCUCCUCGUAAGUACUACUACGUUGACAAAAAAAUUAGCUGGAACGAUGCUCAACAAUACUGCAGAGAGAAGUACACAGACCUGGCCACCAUUGAAAGCAUGGAUGAUAUAAGCAGGCUAAAUUCAUCUUUUUCCUACGACUGGGCAUGGAUUGGACUGCAGGAUGACCCUGAAUCCUGGAAGAAUACGUUAGGCAAUGACACCAACUCCUGGAGAUGGGCAAUAACUGGUGAAACGAGCAAAAUUGAUUACCACAACUGGGACUCUACUCAGCCAAAUUAUUAUCUUGCAAAAGAAACCUGUGUGAUAAUGGGUCUUGGAGGAAAGUGGAACGAUAAAAACUGUGGUGAAAACAAAGCUUUUGCUUGCUACAAUGUUACAGAGCAAAACAAGAAAAACUACAUGUACAUCUCUACUACAAAAAAUUGGACCUCUGCUCGAGAACACUGCAUAAAACUAAGCAUGAACUUGGCAGUGAUCGAAAACAGUGAGGAGAACGCUGAGGUCAGUUCAUUAAAACCAAACAGUGAUGACAUUUGGAUCGGUCUGUACCGAGUGCCAUGGACCUGGUCUGACAAGAGUCAGAGCUCCUUUAAAAACUGGCGAAGUUCCAGCCCAAAUAACCCUCCGGGUAACCAGCAUUGUGUGGUGGAGAAUAACCUCCACGUGUGGG